UGUAGUGGAUAGGAAUACAUCAAGAGUUCAAGAAAACAAGACACAUCUCUGAUAUACUAUCCAGCAGAAACACUCAGUUUGCUGUUCGGAGCACAUUUCCUGAGAGUUCCAGUGUUCUCUGAGAAACGAUGGCGUUGUGGACUGUCUAUCUGUCUCUCGGUCUUCUGGUCGCUUUGAAUGCUUCAGUGGAAACGCGUCCUGUUGGAGGUAAACCUUGUAGCGCCUGUGAGACAGGAUGGACUGCCUAUGGAUGCAGAUGCUUCAAGUUUUUCAAAGACCCACAAUACUCGUGGGGUGGAGGCGAGGAUACGUGUUUGUCCUAUGGUGGGAACCUUGCUUCUGUACACAGCCAUGCUGAGUACAUGUUCAUACAGAACCUGAUUAGACAAACAACUCAUGCAUCAACACCUGUCUGGAUCGGAGGCCAUAAUCCUGUGAACAGUUAGUUUAGUGCAUUGGCAGCCAUGAGAGGCACCGCUCACCAUGAUGAUGUCAUACUCGAGUGUUUGUAUCGUGAAACUCGAUGUGAAAUAGUGUGGCUGAUAGAGAUAACUGAGUGAUUAACCCUUUCUUACACAGUUUUCACAUAUUCUUUACUGAUACCCUUUCUGUGAAAUAAUUUCUGUUCAUUUCUUUUUAGAUUUCUGACAUGUUUAAAGUGGGGUUAGGGUUCAUGAGGAAUCAUCUUUUAGAUAAAUAAAGAUAAAACGAAGCCAUGUAAAGCUGUGGACAUAAACACAAUACUGUUUUUUCUCUUCUGUUCAUAGUAUACUUAUUGGUUCUGGAGUGAUGGAACCAGAAUGAACUAUAAAAUAUGGUCGCCUGGACAACCCAGUUACAGUAAAGAUGAGCACUGCCUUGAGAUGAACUCUGUCCAUGGCAACUGGAAUGAUGUGAAAUGUAAUGAAUCUAAGUCCUUUGUGUGUGUGAAAUGAACCAGCAUGUGAAAAAUCAAUGUAGAAGAAAAAAGCUACUUUGAUUCAUUUACUUUCCAUUAGAAAUAUUUAAUGGAGGCUAAUAAACGUGUUAAAAGGA